AUUCAAUUAGUAUAGAAAAGUAUAUUAGGCUUCCAACUUAAAGGGUUAGACGAUAAAUUGAGUA
rnacentral:tRNA from 1 species